rfam:Triticum aestivum genome assembly, contig: Triticum_aestivum_CS42_TGACv1_scaffold_000269_1AL
AUACUACUCCCUCCGUCCGGAAAUACUUGUCUUAGGAAUGGUUGUAUCUAGACUUAUUUUAGUUAUCGAUACAUCCAUUUUAUCCAUUUCUAGGACAAGUAUUUCCGGACGGAGGGAGUAUCUA